rnacentral:rRNA from 1 species
AGUGAACGCUGGCGGCAGGCCUAACACAUGCAAGUCGAACGGCAGCACAGUAAGAGCUUGCUCUUACGGGUGGCGAGUGGCGGGCGGGUGAGGAAUACAUCGGAAUCUACUUUUUCGUGGGGGAGAACGUAGGGAAACUUACGCUAAUACCGCAUACGACCUACGGGUGAAAGCAGGGGAUCUUCGGACCUCGCGCGAUCGAAUGAGCCGAUGUCGGAUUAGCUAGUUGGCGGGGUAAAGGCCCACCAAGGCGACGAUCCGUAGCUGGUCUGAGAGGAUGAUCAGCCACACUGGAACUGAGACACGGUCCAGACUCCUACGGGAGGCAGCAGUGGGGAAUAUUGGACAAUGGGCGCAAGCCUGAUCCAGCCAUACCGCGUGUGUGAAGAAGGCCUUCGGGUUGUAAAGCCCUUUUGUUGGGAAAGAAAAGCAGCAGGUUAAUACCCCGCUGUUCUGACGGUACCCAAAGAAUAAGCACCGGCUAACUUCGUG